UCAGUGUUACUGCUGAGUACCUAACUACCUGGCCCUCAGUACUGCUGAAGCAGCGGAAGGCUGGGCAGCCUGUCCCUGGCCUGUGAACCAGCUGGGACUGCAGGAGUACCCCGCCACAAGGAAAACCAGCUGAAGGUGGACUUUUGAUGGCCGGGCACAUCUCCUCCCUCCCCCCUUCCCCAGGAAGCUGCUUCACCCAGGGGAGCACGUGGCCUGGAAGAGGAGUGGCCGACUGUGCCUCCAGCUGUAUGGCAGGACCUAGGCAGAGCAGGAAAAGGUGACACCUGCCCACUCGCCAUGGCCUCAGUAAAGCGGGCAGGGGUUUUCUGGCAAACAAGAUCGCCAGCGCAGACCUCCUCAGAGCGGUUCCCUCACUCCUGCCCCCUCUUGGCUCUGCGGCAGGGGGAUGACCACAGCUCUGCGCCUGCCCCCUAGGCACCGGGCAAGGAGCAGGUCGAGCCGGGCGCAGCGGGUCCAAGGCACAGCGAGGGUCCAGCCCACAGAGGCCAGAGGAGGCGGCGGGUCCGUCAGCAGGAUGUUGAUGAAGCAAGAAGGAAAAGCAGAGAAGCUACCUGUGACUAGGAAGUAGAGAAAGUGUUUCUGAGACCCCUCUCCCUGCUUAAUGACCUCAUUAGUAACUGCCAAAGACUGAACACUUUGAAGGAUCUCGCUCAUUACAGCAGCUCCAAACUCCGCAUUUAAAGAUGGUAAAUUAAUUUUUUUAAUGUACUACUUUUUUUUCCUUCCUUCCCUCCAUCCCUCCCUCCUGCUCUGUCAGGGGAUUGUUUAUGGGAUGUGGCAGAUUGUUACAAAUGGGGGAGAGAAACAUUUCCAAAUUCCAUGAGGGAAAUAGCUCACAGAUGCUGGCGGGAGUGGGAAAGGAACAGGUUUGUCAAAAUUGAGAGAUCCAGAUGGGCUUGUGGGCAGGAAGGGGUGGGAGGAAGUGAAACCACCCAGAUGUGCUGGGGACUAUCUCCCAGCCCAUGAACCUGAGGUAGAAGGAACCCAGGAACCUGAGAUGGGUGGGGUCUUUCUCACCUCCAGCUUGCAAGCCCCUCCCAGUCUGGAGCCCUCACCCUUAAACAACACUCCAGAUCCUCCAGGCCCUGUUGCUUCACUCUCUAGGCUUUUCUGGCCUCUUCACUCUGCACUGAUGGGUGAGUUGCGGGGAAAUCCCUGGGAUGAGAUCAAGAACAACUGCAAGUUCAAAGUGAGGAAAUUAUGACUUUGCACUGUGACCCUGUGCUCUACUGAUGCUGGUAGAAUUUUUAUACUUCUGGAUGUCUGGGCCUUACUCCAGACACUAAAAUCAGAAUCUCUGGGCUUCUUUGGUUUUUAUAAAGUCACACAGUACAUUUUUUGUUUUGUUUUGUUUUUGUUUUUGCUUUUUAGGGCCACACCUGUGGCAUAUGGAAGUUCCAAGGCUAGGCGUCGAAUCAGAGCUGCAGCGGCCAGCCUAUGCCACAGCCAC